rnacentral:rRNA from 1 species
AUUGAACGCUGGCGGCAGGCUUAACACAUGCAAGUCGAGCGAGCGGCGGACGGGUGAGUAAUGUCUGGGAAACUGCCUGAUGGAGGGGGAUAACUACUGGAAACGGUAGCUAAUACCGCAUACCAUCAGAUGUGCCCAGAUGGGAUUAGCUAGUAGGUGGGGUAAUGGCUAACCUAGGCGACGAUCCCUAUCUGGUCUGAGAGGAUGACGAGCCACAUGGGAACGGAGACACGGUCCAUACCCUAACGGGAGGCAGCAGAGGGGAAUAUUGGACAAUGGGGGAAAUCCUGAUGCAGCCAUGCGGCGUGUGUGAAGAAGGUCUUCGGGUUGUAAAGCACUUUCAGCGAGGAGGCGUUACUCGCAGAAGAAGCACCGGCUAACUCCGUGCCAGCAGCCGCGGUAAUUC